GACGUAGGGGGCCAGCGUUGUUCGGAAUUACUGGGUGUAAAGGGUUCGUAGGCGGUGCGGCAAGUUGGGAGUGAAAUCUCUGGGCUUAACCCAGAGGCUGCUUCCAAAACUGCUGUGCUUGAGUGUGGGAGAGGCGCGUGGGAUUGCAGGUGUAGCGGUGAAAUGCGUAGAUAUCUGCAGGAACACCCGUGGCGAAAGCGGCGCGCUGGACCACUACUGACGCUGAGGAACGAAAGCUAGGGGAGCAAACAGG
rnacentral:rRNA from 1 species